UAUAAUGCAGUCGAGCGGACAGAUGGGAGCUUGCUCCCUGAUGUUAGCGGCGGACGGGUGAGUAACACGUGGGUAACCUGCCUGUAAGACUGGGAUAACUCCGGGAAACCGGGGCUAAUACCGGAUGGUUGUUUGAACCGCAUGGUUCAAACAUAAAAGGUGGCUUCGGCUACCACUUACAGAUGGACCCGCGGCGCAUUAGCUAGUUGGUGAGGUAACGGCUCACCAAGGCAACGAUGCGUAGCCGACCUGAGAGGGUGAUCGGCCACACUGGGACUGAGACACGGCCCAGACUCCUACGGGAGGCAGCAGUAGGGAAUCUUCCGCAAUGGACGAAAGUCUGACGGAGCAACGCCGCGUGAGUGAUGAAGGUUUUCGGAUCGUAAAGCUCUGUUGUUAGGGAAGAACAAGUACCGUUCGAAUAGGGCGGUACCUUGACGGUACCUAACCAGAAAGCCACGGCUAACUACGUGCCAGCAGCCGCGGUAAUACGUAGGUGGCAAGCGUUGUCCGGAAUUAUUGGGCGUAAAGGGCUCGCAGGCGGUUUCUUAAGUCUGAUGUGAAAGCCCCCGGCUCAACCGGGGAGGGUCAUUGGAAACUGGGGAACUUGAGUGCAGAAGAGGAGAGUGGAAUUCCACGUGUAGCGGUGAAAUGCGUAGAGAUGUGGAGGAACACCAGUGGCGAAGGCGACUCUCUGGUCUGUAACUGACGCUGAGGAGCGAAAGCGUGGGGAGCGAACAGGAUUAGAUACCCUGGUAGUCCACGCCGUAAACGAUGAGUGCUAAGUG
rnacentral:rRNA from 1 species